rfam:Spinacia oleracea cultivar SynViroflay scaffold17721.con0007.1, whole genome shotgun sequence.
UAGAUGAGGAUGAUCCAAUGAAAUAUAUAAUCCAACACUUGAUCCGACUCUUUUUGAGUGUGAAGUCAAUUUUCAUUGUUCCUGAAUCUUC